AUUGAACGCUGGCGGCAGGCCUAACACAUGCAAGUAGAACGAGUGGCGGACGGGUGAGUAGUGUCUGGGAAACUGCCUGAUGGGGGGGGAUAACUACUGGAAACGGUAGCUAAUACCGCAUACCAUCAGAUGUGCCCAGAUGGGAUUAGCUGGUUGGUGGGGUAACGGCUCACCAGGGGGCCGAUCCCUAGCUGUGAGGAGAGGAUGACAAGCCACACGAGAACUGAGACACGGACCAGGCUCCUACGGGAGGGAGCAGUGGGGAAUAUUGCACAAUGGGCGAAAGCCUGAUGCAGCCAUGGCGCGUGUAUGAAGAAGGCCUUCGGGUUGGAAAGUACUUUCAGCGGGGAGGCGUUACCCGCAGAAGAAGCACCGGCUAACUCCGUGCCAGCAGCCGCGGUAAUUC
rnacentral:rRNA from 1 species